CAGCCGCCACGGUAAAACGUAGGUGGCAAGCGUUGUCCGGAAUUAUUGGGCGUAAAGGGCUCGCAGGCGGUUUCUUAAGUCCGAUGUGAAAGCCCCCGGCUCAACCGGGGAGGGUCAUUGGAAACUGGGAAACUUGAGUGCAGAAGAGGAGAGUGGAAUUCCACGUGUAGCGGUGAAAUGCGUAGAGAUGUGGAGGAACACCAGUGGCGAAGGCGACUCUCUGGUCUGUAACUGACGCUGAGGAGCGAAAGCGUGGGGAGCGAACAGGAUUAGAUACCCGAGUAGUCCCUGUCUCUUAUAC
rnacentral:rRNA from 1 species